rnacentral:rRNA from 1 species
UACGGGGGGAGCAAGCGUUGUUCGGAUUUACUGGGCGUAAAGGGCGCGUAGGCGGCCUGUUAAGUCGAACGUGAAAUCCCCGGGCUCAACCCGGGAACUGCGUCCGAUACUGGCAGGCUUGAAUCCGGGAGAGGGAUGCGGAAUUCCAGGUGUAGCGGUGAAAUUCGUAGAUAUUCGCAAGAACACCAGUGGCGAAGGCGGCUCACUGGCCCGGAACUGACGCUGAGGAGCGAAAGCGUGGGGAGCAAACAGG